AUAAGAACUAAAAAGUGACCCUUGAACUUGGUCACAUGGCUGUCACCUGUAGCCUUAAGAGGAGCACUUUCAGUGUACUAGUAGGGAGUUUAAUUUAGCCUGUAUUGAAGGAUGAAUUGAAGUACAGAUGAGCGCUAGGCAGGGGCUCACGGGCAAGUUGUUUUUUGUUUUGUUUUGUUUUUGUUUAAGUUUGGAGGCGUUGGAAUUGGAACAUGAUCAUGGUAUGUCCAACACAGAAGUGGCCAGGAAAUUUGUGAAUGACGACACAGUUUCUAAAACGCCAGAUGUAAAGAGUCCUGCUGGCGUCACAAUGCCUCAACUAUGCUUUUACCCUUUCAGCCAUUUCUAGGGCGGGGGCCCUUCCACAUAAAGUGCAGGCUAAAAGUGGAGGACAAUCACCCCUCCAUCAGAUCUGUGAGUCACGUUUGCGACAGCAAGGAGUAGCGAUGGGACUACUUGAAUUAAAUGAAGUGCCCAGUUUCUCGUGCAUCUUGGAAUUUAGUGACCGGGUGGCUCCAUGCUGGAGGGAGCUAGGGAGACUCAUUCACAUUUUCCGACCCGCCACCCACACCCUCCAUUCAUCAUUUUUCCUUUCCUUUUUCCCUAACAGAGUUGAAACCAGGGACAAAGCUUUCUUCCUUCUCCCACCUCAGGUUGACCUUCCGCCCCCAAGCCCACCGCUGGCCUUUCUCCGACCACGUGACCCCCCUCAGCCCCCGUGACUCGCCGCCUCCGACCCCUCCCCUCCGGCUACAGCCGCUUUACUCCGCCCCUCCAUCCCACGUGACAGCCUCUUUCCUACCUCACUGGCUCCUCCCUUUCCCCCGGGCCGGACCCGGCCGCCGUCUCAGCUGCCCGACUCCAAAAUGGCAGCCGCGCACAGCGCGCACCCGAGCGGCCGGACCUCCCCGACUCCCGGACCACCCCCUUCUCGCUCCCUGCCUCCUUCCUUCGGCCUUCACCUACACGCCUCCGGAUUGGCCGCUAGGAAUCCCGCCCCUCCAGAGCCCCGCCUGCUAUUGGUCACGGUAGGCUGCCCUUCAGAGAGGCGUGCCCCCGCCGCCCCCCGCCCCGGGAGGUAUUUUCCAUUCCGGUGGGGGUUGGGGGGAGGGGGGGAGGGGAAAGGGGAAAGGGGGGAGGCAGCCGGGGAAGGGGGUGGGGGCCUGGCGGGGGCAUCCGGCAGAGCUGGGGUCCCCAGGCUCCGUCCAGAGGAAACGGGACUGCGCUCGAUCGGGCAGUCGGAGGGGACGGGACGGGACUGGCGGGCGAGCGGGAGGACUCGCCCUCUCAGUGACUGCGCCGUCCGGGCCCGUCCGCCUGGCCGCAGGUGCCCGUGGAUGAGGCCGCCCCGCGCGCCCCGACCGCAUCCUUGAAGGCAGUUUGGAUGGCAGUUAAACUCAACAGAUAAAAUGCCCAAGAACGCACAAAACUCUUACCAAAGAGCUACGGCCGAGUUUAUGCUCACACCCAGUGACACCAAUGUGGGACUGUCAUCUGAGAAGCAGUGAUCCUAAGACCCUUGGCUGUAAGCACAGCUGGGUCUCAGGGCUGUGAAGACGUGAAGGAAAAAAGAAAAAAAGAACAAUGUAUGUCUUCCAGAGCCUGGAGGAGAGAGGAAUGGGGAAUGGCUGCUCAGCGUGCGUGGGGCUUCCUUCCGGGGUGAUGAAAAUGUUCCAGCACUAGACAAUGUGGAUGGCUGCACACAUUGUGGAUGUAUUAAAUGCUGCUGGAUUGUACACUUG
ensembl:lncRNA